UUACGGUCAUAUCACGUUGAAACACCAGUUCCCGUACGAUCACCAAAAUUAAGCAACGUCGAGCCUGGUCAGUAGCUAGAUGAGUGACUGCGUGGGAAUACCAG